CCUACGGGGUGCAGCAGUGGGGAAUAUUGGACAAUGGGCGAAAGCCUGAUCCAGCCAUGCCGCGUGUGUGAAGAAGGCCUUCGGGUUGUAAAGCACUUUCAGUGGGGAAGAAAGCCUUGGGGCUAAUACCCUCGAGGAAGGACAUCACCCACAGAAGAAGCACCGGCUAACUCCGUGCCAGCAGCCGCGGUAAUACGGAGGGUGCGAGCGUUAAUCGGAAUUACUGGGCGUAAAGCGCGCGUAGGCGGUCUGAUAAGCCGGUUGUGAAAGCCCCGGGCUCAACCUGGGAACGGCAUCCGGAACUGUCAGGCUAGAGUGCAGGAGAGGAAGGUAGAAUUCCCGGUGUAGCGGUGAAAUGCGUAGAGAUCGGGAGGAAUACCAGUGGCGAAGGCGGCCUACUGGACUGACACUGACGCUGAGGUGCGAAAGCGUGGGUAGCAAACAGGAUUAGAUACCCCUGUAGUC
rnacentral:rRNA from 1 species